AGUAACGCGUGGGUGACCUGCCCCAUACCGGGGGAUAACAGCUGGAAACGGCUGCUAAUACCGCAUAAGCGCACAGAGCUGCAUGGCUCAGUGUGAAAAACUCCGGUGGUAUGGGAUGGGCCCGCGUCUGAUUAGGCAGUUGGUGAGGUAACGGCCCACCAAGGCGACGAUCAGUAGCCGACCUGAGAGGGUGACCGGCCACAUUGGGACUGAGACACGGCCCAG
rnacentral:rRNA from 1 species